rnacentral:rRNA from 1 species
UACGAAGGGGGCUAGCGUUGCUCGGAAUCACUGAGCGUAAAGGGUGCGUAGGCGGGUCUUUAAGUCAGGGGUGAAAUCCUGGAGCUCAACUCCAGAACUGCCUUUGAUACUGAGGAUCUUGAGUUCGGGAGAGGUGAGUGGAACUGCGAGUGUAGAGGUGAAAUUCGUAGAUAUUCGCAAGAACACCAGUGGCGAAGGCGGCUCACUGGCCCGAUACUGACGCUGAGGCACGAAAGCGUGGGGAGCAAACAGG